rnacentral:rRNA from 1 species
UACGGAGGGUGCGAGCGUUGUCCGGAAUCACUGGGCGUAAAGGGCGCGUAGGCGGCCUGAUAAGUAGGGGGUGAAAUCCUGCGGCUUAACCGCAGGGCUGCCUUCUAAACUGUCGGGCUAGAGCACGGUAGAGGCAGAUGGAAUUCCCGGUGUAGCGGUGGAAUGCGUAGAGAUCCGGAGGAACACCAGUGGCGAAGGCGACACGCUGGGCCGUACCUGACACUGAUGCGCGACAGCAUGGGGAGCAAACAGG